ACAACCCCAUGCCGUCGUAGCCGCCGCCCGCGCCCGUCUCCAACCGCCGCAUGUCCACGGGUGCCAUGGCGUGGGACAUGGAGGGAGAUUUUGCGGACUUUGUGAGGGGAUGGGAGAUUGGAAAGUGGAGGAGGAUCGAUACGGAAUGGCGUGUAUUUAAGCCGCAGGGUUCAAGAUUUUCCUACAGGUUUGCGUGCUGGCAGUCUUCUUAUUUUUGUUUUUUUUGGAAAGACGCGGGUGGUGAUUUAUGAAGAAUAAUGACUGAACCGCUGUCGCGUAC
rnacentral:lncRNA from 1 species